rnacentral:rRNA from 1 species
CUGGCUCAGGACGAACGCUGGCGGCGUGCCUAAUACAUGCAAGUCGAGCGGACAGAUGGGAGCUUGCUCCCUGAUGUUAGCGGCGGACGGGUGAGUAACACGUGGGUAACCUGCCUGUAAGACUGGGAUAACUCCGGGAAACCGGGGCUAAUACCGGAUGGUUGUUUGAACCGCAUGGUUCAAACAUAA